UACGAAGGGGGCUAGCGUUGCUCGGAAUCACUGGGCGUAAAGCGCACGUAGGCGGCUUUUUAAGUCAGAGGUGAAAUCCUGGAGCUCAACUCCAGAACUGCCUUUGAUACUGGACGUGCUGAGUCCGGGAGAGGUGAGUGGAACUGCGAGUGUAGAGGUGAAAUCGUAGAUAUUCGCAAGAACACCAGUGGCGAAGGCGGCUCACUGGCCCGGUACUGACGCUGGAG
rnacentral:rRNA from 1 species